rnacentral:lncRNA from 1 species
GUAUUGUUCCUUCUUCUCCUUGAAUUUUUAUCUUCAGUACACUUCCCCACAAAAUUUCAUCCUACUGUAAUACAUCUUUUGUUUUGAAGGUUCUUUAUUGAUUACCCUAUUUUACUUAUCUGUAAGAUAAUAUGUGUGUACAAAUUUAAAUUAAUAAUUUUUUAAUUUCCUCAUUUCAUAAGUGUCUGUUAAAAUAUUUUUUAGAUUGACUUAUUAGUAUUGCACAAUUAGUAAACUUUGGAAAAUUAGCAUAAGAUUAAUCAAGAUGACAUAAACA